rnacentral:rRNA from 1 species
AUAGAGACUCAGAGCUGCAUAUCAAUAAGCGGAGGAAAAGAAACUAACAAGGAUUCCCUUAGUAACGGCGAGUGAAGCGGGAAGAGCUCAAAUUUGAAAUCUUCAAGGUUUACCUUGACGAAUUGUAGUUUAAAGAAGUGUUUUCUGUUGGAGUUUCGGUAAAAGUUCUUUGGAAUAGGACAUCAUAGAGGGUGAGAAUCCCGUAUUUGACCAUUAUUUCAGCUGUGUGAUACACUUUCAAAGAGUCGGAUUGUUUGGGAAUGCAGUCCAAAAUGGGUGGUAAAUUUCAUCUAAAGCUAAAUAUUGGCGAGAGACCGAUAGCGAACAAGUACCGUGAGGGAAAGAUGAAAAGAACUUUGAAAAGAGAGUUAAACAGUACGUGAAAUUGUCAAAAGGGAAGCGUUUGACACCAGUGUUGUUUUCUCGAAAAUCAAUUAAAAAAGGCUGGAUUUUGUGUUGUAUUGACUUUAUCAGCUUUCUGCACUCUUUUCUUGUCUUUUUUAAUGCACUUUUCGUUUAACAAGUCUACAUCAAUUUCUUUUGUUGUAAAAGGGUCAUUGGAAGGUGGCUUUCUUUUCGGAGAAAGUGUUUAUAGCCUUUGGCCUCUGCAAUCGGAGAGAUUGAGGUCUGCAGCGUAGAUCCUUCGGGGUUAGAUACAGUUUGUGCUAAGUUAUAGCCUUUCAUAGACAACUUGUUGACUAUGAUCAGUCAUGUAGCUUACUCGCUUAUGCUAUUUUACCUACGCUUAGGAUGUUGACGAUCAGCUGAGCGCG